rnacentral:rRNA from 1 species
GAAGCUAUGGCAUUGCGCAAGCAAUGGGUAGGGGAGCGUUCUUAUGGGGAAGAAGCAUUACCGUAAGGAGAUGUGGACACAUAAGAAGUGAGAAUGCCGGUAUGAGUAUCGAAAAGAAAGGUGAGAAUCCUUUCCACCGAAAGCCCGAGGGUUCCUGAGCAACGAUCGUCGUCUCAGGGUAAGUCGGGACCUAAGCCGAGGCACAGACGCAUAGGCGAUGGACAACAGGUUGAUAUUCCUGUACCACCUUUCAUCCGUUUGAGCAAUGGAGGGACGCAGGAGGAUAGGGUAAGCGCACAGCUGGAUUUGUGCGUCCAAGCAGUGAGGCUGGAUGUGAGGCAAAUCCUUGCAUCCUUAAGGCUGAGCUGUGAUGGCGAGGGAAAUUAGAGUACCGAAGUUCCCGAUUCCACACUGCCGAGAAAAGCUUCUAGCGAGGAUGAAGGUGCCCGUACCGCAAACCGACACAGGUAGGCGAGGAGAGAAUCCUAAGGUGAUCGAGAGAACUCUCGUUAAGGAACUCGGCAAAAUGACCCCGUAACUUCGGGAGAAGGGGUGCUCUUGAAAGAGAGCCGCAGUGAAUAGGCCCAGGCGACUGUUUAGCAAAAACACAGGUCUCUGCAAAACCGUAAGGUGACGUAUAGGGGCUGACGCCUGCCCGGUGCUGGAAGGUUAAGAGGAGAUGUCAUCGCAAGAGAAGCAUUGAAUUGAAGCCCCAGUAAACGGCGGCCGUAACUAUAACGGUCCUAAGGUAGCGAAAUUCCUUGUCGGGUAAGUUCCGACCCGCACGAAAGGCGUAACGAUCUGGGCACUGUCUCAACGAGAGACUCGGUGAAAUUAUAGUACCUGUGAAGAUGCAGGUUACCCGCGACAGGACGGAAAGACCCCGUGGAGCUUUACUGUAGCCUGAUAUUGAGUUUUGGUAUUCUAUGUACAGGAUAGGCGGGAGACUUGGAAGUACGGACGCCAGUUCGUA